AGCUCCAAUAGCGUAUAUUAAAAUUGUUGUGGUUAAAAAGCUCGUAGUUGGAUAUUUGUCGAGGACUGGCGGUCCACCCUAGUGGUCGGCACUCGGUAUGUCCUUGGCAUUUUCCUGGGGAAAGCGUUGGCUCUUCAUUGAGUGGCGCAUGAUCCAGAACUUUUACUUUGAGGAAAUGAGAGUGUUUCAAGCAGGCGUUCGUCAUGAAUACGUUAGCAUGGAAUAAUAGCAUAGGACCCCGUUCUAAAGCUGUUGGUUUUUGGAACGAGGUAAUGAA
rnacentral:rRNA from 1 species